rnacentral:lncRNA from 1 species
AUCUUCUUCUAUCCUCACCAUCUUCUUCUAUCCUCACCAUGUGGCCUCAAACUUGAGUUCUUCAAGAUACAACUAAUAAGAUCUUACUCAACUAAAACAUUUAAUAUCAAAAUCAUCAUUAUUUACUGACUGUCCUUAGAGCAAGUGGCAAAGGAUUGGUGGUUGGUACCUGAGACCCAAGUUCGAAUCUUAGUUUAUUUACAUUCCUAGCUAAGUUUAUUUCUAAAUGAAAUAAACGAAACAGGUAGCGUGCUACCUAUCUCUCAAAAAAAAAAAUCAUCAUUAUUUGUAAUCAUCAAAAUAGGGCAAAAAUUUUAUGGACAC